UACGUAGGGUGCAAGCGUUAAUCGGAAUUACUGGGCGUAAAGCGUGCGCAGGCGGUUUUGUAAGUCUGACGUGAAAUCCCCGAGCUCAACUCGGGAACUGCGUCCGAUACUGGCGGGCUUGAAUCCGGGAGAGGGAUGCGGAAUUCCAGGUGUAGCGGUGAAAUGCGUAGAUAUCGGGAGGAACACCAGUGGCGAAGGCGAUCUUCUGGACCAUUUCUGACGCUCAGACGCGACAGCUAGGGUAGCAAACGGG
rnacentral:rRNA from 1 species